GACAGAACUCAGAGCUGCAAGAGAAAGAAGACUGAAUUCAGUCUCUCUUGCAGAAAAAUUGUUUUCCGUCAAGUUGAUAAUAAUGAUCACACUGAGAAUGAAUGACUCAAGAUGAAUAUCCAAAGAUAUAUCAAAACCUGGUCAGCAGUCGUGGGGAAAGGAAGAAAGCCUGAGUUGAGUUUAUGAAAGUUUUCCACUAAAGUCAGCAACAGCUUAAAUUCAAACCAGGCACAAGACGCUUGAAUCUCCAUAUGAGUUGUUCAUCAAAGGGCUGAAAGAAAAGAAAUCUGAGCCCGAGCACGGUCUGGCCUAAAAGCUUUCAAGUGACUCCUUUCUGGUUUCCUGGGAAUUGGAUGCUGAGAUGAAAAGCAUAUGAGUAGCUUUCUUCCAGCAUUCUUCUUGGUGAUUAACCAACUAUCCAAGUACAAAGUUGCUCCUAAUUAACCCUGAGGACCCCAAUAUAAAGUUGCAAAUGAAAGAAGUCCUGCUACUCUAAAGAAUAACUAAACCAGACUGGAGUCACUGAAACUGAUGGAAGAACAUCUCAGGCAUGAGUGCCAUGGUGACGUCAUCAGCUCCGUUCACAACCACUCACCAUGAGGCCAUUGCUCCUGUGGAGGACACUGGCUUAGGACUCAUGAAGUAGUACCUCAGGAAGGUGUCUCUGUAAGUGUUCCUUCCACCAGCUCCAAGACACAAUGAGAUGGAGAGAACUGGAACAAUUCCCUAUGAUUGCAGCUGGAUAUUUUCACAUGAACUAUCUAGUAAUGAAGGCAAUGGCAUGUGGUGUGGCAAAGACUGGCCCCAGAUUACAUUUCCAGUCCUUUUGUACUGAGGAGGGGCUUUGGGACCAAGACAGUAGGAGUGAGGGUACAGGUUCCACAUUCUAUUUCUCUCUUAGUUUUCUGUGGUUAUCUUGGUGACUGCAUGGUAAAGAUGGAGGUGACAAAAGAUGGAAGGAGCCUGGAUCCCUGAAUGACUUCAUGGUGCAGAGCCUUACACUACCCCCAACUCAUACUAAAACAGGGGUGGGAGGAACAAUAGACCAUUAUUCUGUUAAGGUGCUGAAAUUGUAGAGCUGUUAAUUUGAACAGUUAGAGUUUCUUAUACUGAUACAGUAUCCUUACCCUGGAUUGUUGAAAUAAUUAGUCCAAAUAGUUUCUUUGCCUAAAACUGUGGACAGAGCCUAAGCAAUAUUGAAUCCAAGACAAGGUAUAUUUAUCAUCAAAUGCUACUCACUAUACAAUACAGAUGAAUGUGGCACUUACUUCCCGUGUUGUUACCCAGCCUGCUUCUAGUAUUCUUUACACAAAAUAACAUUCAUGAGCAACCUGGGCACAAGAGGUCUCUGUCAAAAUAAGUCUUUGAUUUCUCUCCAGAUAAACUCGUGUGUGUGUGUGUGUGUGUGUGUGUGUGUGUGCAUGUCCAUUUUAUAUUUGGUUUUAGUUACAAUUCAAGGAGUCUUUCCUUUUAGACAAUGGUCCAUACAUUCAUGGAAGGCAGAACUAAUCAGAGAACCUGGUUCAAAAGUUUUAGGGGAUUCUUUGAGAAAUGUUUCCCAGAAUUUAAACUUGGGACUUGACUAUAAGUAUUAGUGUACAAAAUCACAGAGGAUAUCAAAGCAAGAUUCUUCCUGUUCUCCCAGAAAAAAAAAUAUAUUCUUGGAAAAUUAUUUUCCUAGACUGUCAAGCUCAGAGAUGGACAGUUGGCCAAUGAAGGCCUCAUCUACAGCAAGAAUGAAGAAUCUGAGCCUCAGCAGUGAAAACACUGCCUACUACUUCACUACCACCCUUUGGACUAAAACCAGAACAAACUUGCAUUUAAACCAUUAAAAAUGCCACACACAUUAAAUUCUGUGCCUGGGCCAGGCAGCUCCCAAGGCAGAUGGUGUGUAGUGUUGGAAAACUUGGUAUUAUUUAAAUGAAACAAGCAUUCCAUUGCUCUCGAUCACACUGAACAAUGAAGAUUUCACACCCAGCGAUUCUAUCAUCAGUGGAGCUCUCUCUGUCUCCAUUUGCAGCAUUGGACAGAUAAAUAAAUAUUCUUUAGAUCAAGUUAACUGCCUGAUGUUUCUUAGAGAGACAGAAACUCUAAUGAUCAAGUUGAUGUAGCAGUGGGUCAUUAUCAUCUUCCUCUGAGACCCACUGUUUGAGGGAGAAGUGUGCAGUAUGCUGCAAUAUGACUUUAAGAAAGUAUUAACAUGCCUAAGAUGACUUGAAAUUGCCAGUCUUCUGGGCUGUUGUGGGGGACAUUGGAAGGAAUCAAUGAACAUUUCCAGGAGAUUACAGAGAUCACAGGGGAAAUUGUUUAGUUAGAACUGUGUACACAAAGCUGACUUUAGACACCUGCAAAAAUCAGAAUCAUUGAAAAAAAAGAGAGAGAGAGAAAGGAAAAGAUAAAAGAAAGCCAAGAUGCUGUGUCCCAUUCCAAGUAAUACUGCUCUCCCCUUCCAAUGCUUCCAUACCAUUCUCCAAACCUGAAGCUCCCUGGAGCCAGGUUCCAUCACUAAUGGGGCAUCUCAGUUCCGACUAGAUCAUACUGGGUUGCCUGAUUUGCUGGAGAACCUCAGUGAGGAGCUGCAAGUGACUUGGUUUCUGUGCUUAAGAAACAGCAGACUACAAGGCAAAGAGCAUGGCAGAAGGGAUCAACUCAGCUUUUGUCUCUAAAACCAUCCCCAUGUCUUUUGGGGAUAAAGCCUGACUUUUAUUCCUCCCUUGAUAAUCUGUCCUUUACCUCUUGGGAUUUGGCAUUAAGCCACUCCAUAGCUUUGCUAAUUCUUGGGAGGAAGGCAUUUAUCAGGACAAAAGAGGAACCUGCACUCUCAAAGGCUUACAGGGGCAGUCAUCACGUUUGUUUGCUAUCUACUCUGAAAACAAUGACGUCUGGAUCGCAUGGGCAGAAGUCACAGGGGCCUACAAGAACCAGGCUGUGACAGCCGGGAAGCUAAUGUGUGUUACCACGGAAUCCACCAAGGGGAAAAACUUUGAAACAUUUUAAAAAUGCAGGUGCACAAAUUACUCAUGCCAGGAGCGGCAGUGGCACUUUGUAAUAAAAUCUUAUGUUUAUUUUCCACUGUUGAAUACACAUACCUUAGUGUUCCCAGAGAGGGAAGCCUACAAUGCUAUCCAAUGAAUAGUUUGCAGAUGGAUUAAAUACAUGUACCAAUGAAAUAAAACGUGCAGAUUUGGGGCUUUUUGCCUCCUACCUUUGCUCUGGGCCCAGAGCUCCCCGAUGAUGACACGGGAGGUUUGUGCAAAGAUCUGAAGUCAAGAAGGAUUAGUUUAAAGAGUCAGAUGAAAAAGGACACAAAUGAAAAUGCUUCUGCAUGAGCCUGAAAACCAACACUUAGCAAUGAGUGAUUCUGACUUUGGGGCCUGUAACAAAUAAUAGCAAAUGAGGGAAGUUUCCAGUGGCUUCACAGCAGGAGGGCAAUGGCCAGGGAACCACUGUGAAACAGAUCAGUCAACGGGACUUCCUGGUUCUUGAGGAAGCUUUGAAGGCAGGGAGUGUGGCAUACAUGUAAGGGUCUUUGUUGCUAAUAUUUUUUUUUGAGGCAUAUACUUUGCAGGGGCAAAUCUUCAAGUUGCCACUUCCUGAGAACUCCCUCAUUUUAGUGAAUAUAUAUUUCAAGCCCAGUAGUUGAAUAGCACUAUUAUUGGCACUGUGCAGGAACACCAAAAUGUGCAAGACAGGGACUUGAACUCACUGGAGUAAUGAUCUAGUGGCAUUCACAAACCACAUCGUGUGCAGCAGAAUUCUAUGAGAUAUUCAGACAAUAAAGUGCAUAGAGAGAAGGAAGAGGUCCCUCUGGCUAAGGCGAUGGAAGAGAUUAUGAAGGGAGAGCAGGCUAGACUCUGGCCUGCAGGUAAGUAAGAUGCAUGAACCAAUGCUUACGGAGAGGAAAGAAGAGUUGAGUUUAGGAAGGACAAGAGGACCUCUGCCGUUGCUAUGCAGGCUUUGGUUUAGAGAGGAGAAGACAAGAAUCUUAGAAAUGCAUUGAGUGUGCUGCUCUGUGGGCUCAGGAGCAUAACCCAGGCUUUCCACGAGCUCUUCAUUCCAUACACUGCCAUCUAGACACUGGGGCUUCUCAUGUGCUAGGUCCUGCCAGCUUUCCCUGGGAGCCCCUCAGACCGCUACUUGAACUGGUAACGAAAAAUUGAGAAGAUGUGUUGACUACACACCACAAACACACACACACACACACACACACGUGCUAAACUGGCCACUCCCCUACUGACACCACCAUCAGUAUGUCUGGGGCUCGGCUGCCAAGGGAGUUGACCUCCUUGAGGACAGCAGAGUCCAGCCCUCUGUGCAGGGAGUUAAGCUUCUGGUGUGCCUAUUUUCGUAGGGAAGAAGAAAAGAGAGGGCACAAAACGAAUCUCUAUCCCUGUCGAAAUCCUAACAAAGGCCGGGCACGGUGGCUUGUGCCUGUAAUCCCAGCACUUUGGGAAGCUGAGGCAGGCAGAUCACCUGAGGUCAGGAGUUAAAGACCAGCCUGGCCAACAUGGUGAAACCCCGUCUCUACUAAAAAUAGAAAAUUAGCCGGGGGUGGUGGUGGGAGCCUGUAAUACCAGCUACUUGGGAGGCUGAGGCAGGAGAAUCACUUGAAUCUGGGAGGUGGAGGUUGCAGUAGCCAAGACCACGCCAUUGCACUUCAGCCUGGGCGACAAGAGCAAAACUCCAUCUAAAAAAAAAGAGCAAAAAACAAACAAACAAACAAACAAACAAAUCCCAAAAAGACUGCACAGUGGCUGGCUUUUCUCCAGCCUGGUGACAGAAUUUGCAUCUGCCACAAACAGGAACCAAUCUCCUGUCUAUCCUAAGCUCUCAUGUUUGGAUUCUAUUGGCCCUCCUCAGAGGUGGAUGGAGGCGGCACCAAACAUCGUCUAGUGGGGCACUACGUAUAAGAUGGUGUGGUGCUGGGAGGAGAGGACCCCUCACUGUCCCCUCACUGUCUCCUAGCAGGGACAAAGGCGAGAGCAGGGGCACAGAGCAGAAUCCCAAGAGUGAUUUUCUCCCUCCACCAAGCCCCCCUCACCUGUGCAUGCUCCUCCCAGCCCACUCCACAUCACAUAAUUGGCAUGUGAAGAUUGAUCAGCAGUGGUGUGCGGCCUGCUCAACAGACGGAUCAGCUGUGGCAUGUGUUCAGCUGGGCAAACCUAGCACGAAGAUGUUUCUGUCGGUGUGCAGGGGACAGCCGUCCAUCAACAGCCAUCUUGUUUUGUUUAUUUGUUUAAGCAACCACAGAUGCGAGAGAGAAAGAGACAGAGAGAGAGAGAGAGCAAGUGAGUGAGGAGAAUAUUUCCACCCCCCCUCUCCCCUACAGAUCUGUCCCGAGGCUUCGAAUCUUCUUUCCCACUCUAAGCACUCUGGGCCACAUUCGAUUCUAUUUUUGUGCCCCUCUUCAACUGCAAUGAGGCUUGCUUUGGCAUCUGAGCUACCACCUGCCGUCUGCUCUUUAGUUCCUGUUUGCUGUAAAUCUCGCUUUGGGUCUUGGGUAUCUUCACAGCUAGUUCUGCAGAAGAGAAAGGAGCAUUUUGGUCUUGAGGUAACUCCCAGUCGGUCUCCAGCUUCCUCCAGAUGGAACUCUGCCCUGCUGUAGCCUCUGUGAAGACCAGCUGCCUCUGGCUUUAGCAUUUUCCUGCAGCUAACAGGCAUCAGCCCGGAGAACAAUUGUCUUGGAGGAGAGAGGGAGAGUCUGGGCUGAAAACUGCCAUGCAGGGAUGGGAGCCAUUUUUAAAGCCCUCCUGAAUGUUCAGUUGUGAAAUCAACAUCCUGAUUGUUGUGGAGCUUCAAGCAGGUGAAAACAUAAGAUGAAAGGAAAUGAAGUGACUGCUGACAGGCUGGAGAGCAUGACUUAAUCAGCAGCUAAAAUCAAUGAGUCGAAGGCUGCUGCCCCCAGCAAAAAUCAAUGGGGGAAAAGGACUGCUGGCCAAGAUCUCUCCUACAUUUUUAUUUGCCCCAAGACCACCCAAGACUUUCCUAUCCUGCUCGUGCCCUGCCUAAAAUGCUAAUUUAGGCUGUGACUUGAUAGGCCCUUGAAAAUUUCCUGGAAAUCUAGCCUCCUACCCUGAAUUAAUAAGUUGUAAGGAACAACCUCAAAUCUCGAAGGAUUAAUCCAAUAAAAGUUAAUUUCUCCUGCAUGCUGAGACCAAUAAAGAUAUUUCUCUUCUGGCAGCUUUCCUGGUGGCUCUCCUUCAAGCCGUGACAUGGGGAUCUAGGCUUCUCCCAUCUUGAGAUGUCUCCAACUUUAAUCGAGGGCCUCUCCGGUGGCUGUAGAAGCAGAAGAGAGUAUGGGGAAGGCACAUUAGGUAGUUAACCAUCUUGCCUGAAAGUGACACCUGCCACUUCUGUUCACAUUCCAUUGGCCUGCAUUCGCCAGUUGGUCCCACGAAGAUGUGAGGAGUCAGGAAAAUAAAAACCCUGGCUGGAUAUCCUUGGACUCCACAUAGUUGGCUCUACCAUAUUCCCCUAAAUAAUACUCACAUCCCCUGACAAACAACACUCAGAAUCCUAAAACCACCAAGUGGAAAAAAAUUGCUACAUUCCCACCUACUUUGAAUCUCCUCUUUACGGCUUAGAAACCCAACCGUCACUGACAUUUGCCCAUUGACAUUUUCCAUGUAGCCUGUUAGACCAUUUCUUCCCUCUUAGCAUCUUCUACAGAACUUCCAUAGACCUGUUUUCCUUUGUCUUUGUACUUUCUGGUUGUUUUCUAGAACUUCUCCAGUUUCUCUGCAUGUAGUGUUGGUUCUUGUCCUUAAGGUAAAUAAGUUGUUACUGGACCACAUCCUAUUGUGGGCAGAUUUAAGGUCUAAUUUAAAUAGACUUGGGAGAUUAGAGGUAUAGGUGAUAUUAAAAUGAUUAUUAUUUUUAAAUUUAUUCUGGUCUUCUAGAACUUCCAGGGCACCAGCAGCUCUUCCCAUAUUAUUCCAUCUGAAAUCUCAGGUUAUCAAAUAGCACACGGCCCAGCCAAGGCACAAUAUACAUGGGACAGUGUCUAGCUCAGAUCUCACCUGUGACCUUCCUCUACAGAUAUAUUUAUUGAAUUUAAAGAUGCUGGGAUGCCAAGGGGUUAUUAUAGAAGUAUGAGGUUGUAUUCCUCUAGGGAGAAGCUCCAGCCUUCUUACCUAUUCAACGAAUCAUCUUUAGACUCCCACUUCCCAUGCAUAUUAUUUUCUUUAUAAGUAACCUAAAACAGAAUCAUCCCCUAUUUAAGAACUGAUAGCAUCAGCAAGGCCACACUCCUUUGAUGUUUAGGGGCUUUCCCAAGCUGAAAAUGCCCUGCUCAUAAAUCAUUCAAUCAUUCACUGAGGAAAUGUUUACUGAUCACUGCUGUGUGCACUGUUGUAGGCACCAAGGAAAUGAAGGCAGAUAAACAUGGUCUUUGAUAUCAAAGAGGUCAUAGUCUCAUUCAGAAGAUAGAAAUGGAGACAAACAGCUCUAAUACAUAUAAGCCCUAUCUUUUGCCUUGCUCAAGAUACCAGGGUGGUGCAAAAUAAAAAAUAACUGAACUCUGUGUAGAAGGAAUAAGGUUAGGAAAAAUUUUGCUUCGUGGAGAAUAUGAUGCUUAAAUUGAGUAUUGUGAUAUGAGACAGAAUCUUCUCUAUAAAUAAGAAGGCGAUAUAGAAAGAACAAUCUAGUCUACAAGAAUAACAUUUGCAAAGAAAUAAAGGCAUAACUUCGUAGUGCGUGAUGAAAAAAUUCUCAAUGAGGUUAAGAAUUUAGAGAGGAUAUGUGGAUGCAAGGAGGGGAAGAGUGAAAAGUGGCAAAAGCAGUUUAGGUAGAAAGAUAGAUACAGAAUCAUGAUUGCCAUGGCUUAGGAUCUAACGAGGCUUCAGCAGGAGAUAAGGAAGAAAAGCUGCUUUUCUGAGUAUUUCUUGCUGUGAAGAGGAAGCCCAGCAGUGCUGCCCUCCAGACAGUGCUCCACAGUCAGGCCAUUCUGCUCUCUGGCUGUACCUCCAUAGCUAUCGUCCCCAAAGCCCCUUCCUGCUCUGUGCCUUUGCAAACGUCUGUGAAACCUUCUGCAUAUCCCAAACUUGCCUACUCUUUCUCAAACACCCCGUUCUGCACCAGUUGCCUUCAGGGCAGCUUCAGUGGCCCUGCACCCAAACUCUCAGUUGAUGUGGAAUUGGCCCCAAGCCAUUUGGCCCUGAGUAAUCACUCAUAUAAGGACUUUCCUCUCCCCACCUAAGAUCGUGCAUUGUGUGAUGGAGUGGAGUGGAGUUAUCAUCCACAAAUUGUGUCUCCCACCACACUCAGUAGAGUGCAGGCCACAUAGAAA
rnacentral:lncRNA from 10 species